rnacentral:rRNA from 1 species
ACCUGGUUGAUCCUGCCAGUAGUCAUACGCUUGUCUCAAAGAUUAAGCCAUGCAUGUCUAAGUAUAAACAAUUUUGUACUGUGAAACUGCGAAUGGCUCAUUAUAUCAGUUAUAGUCUACUCGAUAGUACCUUACUACUGGAUACCCGUAGUAAUUCUAGAGCUAAUACAUGCCUAAAGACCCAACUGCUUGUCGUGCGGGUAGCAUU